UACGAAGGGAGCUAGCGUUGUUCGGAAUCACUGGGCGUAAAGCGCACGUAGGCGGAUUUGCCAGUCAGGGUGAAAUCCCGGGCUCAACCUCGGAACUGCCUUUGAUACAGCAAGUCUUGAGUUCGAGAGAGGUGGGUGGAAUUCCUAGUGUAGAGGUGAAAUUCGUAGAUAUUAGGAAGAACACCGGUGGCGAAGGCGGCCCACUGGCUCGACACUGACGCUGAGUGCGAAAGCGUGGGAGCAACAGG
rnacentral:rRNA from 1 species